AAAUUGAAGAGUUUGAUCAUGGCUCAGAUUGAACGCUGGCGGCAGGCCUAACACAUGCAAGUCGAACGGUAACAGGAAGCAGCUUGCUGCUUCGCUGACGAGUGGCGGACGGGUGAGUAAUGUCUGGGAAACUGCCUGAUGGAGGGGGAUAACUACUGGAAACGGUAGCUAAUACCGCAUAACGUCGCAAGACCAAAGAGGGGGACCUUCGGGCCUCUUGCCAUCGGAUGUGCCCAGAUGGGAUUAGCUAGUAGGUGGGGUAACGGCUCACCUAGGCGACGAUCCCUAGCUGGUCUGAGAGGAUGACCAGCCACACUGGAACUGAGACACGGUCCAGACUCCUACGGGAGGCAGCAGUGGGGAAUAUUGCACAAUGGGCGCAAGCCUGAUGCAGCCAUGCCGCGUGUAUGAAGAAGGCCUUCGGGUUGUAAAGUACUUUCAGC
rnacentral:rRNA from 1 species